UCCUCGGUAGCUCAACGGCAGAGCAACCGGCUGUUAACCGGUUGGUUGCUGGUUCAAAUCCAGCCCGAGGAG
rnacentral:tRNA from 1 species